UGGUGUUGUCAGUGUUUUUGGAUUUUGGCCAUUCUAAUAGAUGCCUGGGGACACUACCAGUCUGGGAUCCUCUAAAUUCAAGUUGCAGGCUUAAGAUUCCCCGAGUCAUCCAAGAGUCAUGAAUACAUGACCCCUUCUGGGUCACUCUUAUUUUGUAUACAGCCAUUUGCAGUCCCAGCUUAACAUAUGUGUGAGGCUAUCAGACUCCCAUGGCAAGCCCUGGACUGACUGCUAUCCCCCACCUUGGAAGUUUGCCAGAACUACAGCUCCAUUUCUUGGUGGUUUCUUUUGGCUCUACAAAUGACCUCAAAGUGGGACUCUGCACAAAGAUACCCAGCUAGCGAGGGUCUCUCCUAAUGGCACUUUUAUGGUCAGUGAACAGUGGCUUGCCCUUUGGAACCUGCCAGUGCUCCUCCAGGAUGCGCCAAGAUGGUA